rnacentral:rRNA from 1 species
CCUACGGGAGGCAGCAGUGAGGGAAUAUUGGACAAUGGGCGCAAGCCUGAUCCAGCCAUGCCGCGUGCAGGAAGAAGCAUCUAUGGUGUGUAAACUGCUUUUGUACAGGAAGAAACACUCCCUCGUGAGGGAGCUUGACGGUACUGUAAGAAUAAGGACCGGCUAACUCCGUGCCAGCAGCCGCGGUAAUACGGAGGGUCCGAGCGUUAUCCGGAAUCAUUGGGUUUAAAGGGUCCGUAGGCGGUUUAAUAAGUCAGUGGUGAAAUCUGGUCGCUCAACGAUCAAACGGCCAUUGAUACUGUUAGACUUGAAUUAUAAGGAAGUAACUAGAAUAUGUAGUGUAGCGGUGAAAUGCUUAGAUAUUACAUGGAAUACCAAUUGCGAAGGCAGGUUACUACUUAUGGAUUGACGCUGAUGGACGAAAGCGUGGGGAGCGAACAGGAUUAGAUACCCUGGUAGUCCACGCCGUAAACGAUGGAUACUAGCUGUUCGGAGCAAUCUGAGUGGCUAAGCGAAAGUGAUAAGUAUCCCACCUGGGGAGUACGUUCGCAAGAAUGAAACUCAAAGGAAUUGACGGCUGAGAGAGACGAGACGACGACGAGGGAGGAGG